CGGUUGAUCCUGCCGGACCCUACCGCUAUCGGGGUAGGACUAAGCCAUGCAAGCCAAGCGUCUCCCACCCACUUGGAGUCGCGGCGCACCGCUCAGUAACAGGUGGUCAAGCUACGCUUGGGAGCUGGACAACGCCGGGAAACUGGCGACAGUCCAGCACAAGGGGGGGGUCCUGGACUGGUCCCCCCCUGAACAGCUGCUCAGGACAUGCACCUGAGUAGCCCCCAAGCAUGCGACCGCCUCCGAUCAGGUUGUUGGUGGGGCCAUGCCCCACCAAGCCUAUAACCGGUACGCGCCCUGAGAGGGGGGGCGCGGAGUUGGGGGCUGAGACACGCCCCCAGGCCCGCCCGGGCCCAGCAGGCGCACUCGCACCACAAAACUCGAAAGGGUGAUGGGGCUACCCCGAGUGCUGUACGAACCGUACAGCUUUUACAGGUUUCCAUAAAAUCGGGGAAUAAGGAGAGGGCAAGUUUGGUGUCAGCCGCCGCGGUAAUACCAGCUCUCCGAGUGGUAGGGAUGUUUAUUGGGCCUAAAGCAUCCGUAGCUGGCCUAGCAAGUCCCCCGUUAAAUCCAACGAAUUAAUCGUUGGAGUGCGGGGGAUACUGCUAGGCUAGGGGGCGGGAGAGGCCGACGGUAUUCCCGGGGUAGGGGUGAAAUCCUAUAAUCCCGGGAAGACCACCAGUGGCGAAGGCUGUCGGCUAGUACGCGCCCGACGGUGAGGGACGAAAGCUGGGGGAGCGAACCGGAUUAGAUACCCGGGUAGUCCCAGCUGUAAACGAUGCAGGCUAGGUGUUGGGGCGGCCACGGGCCGCUCCAGUGCCGCAGGGAAGCCGUUAAGCCUGCCGCCUGGGGAGUACGGUCGCAAGGCUGAAACUUAAAGGAAUUGGCGGGGGAGCAC
rnacentral:rRNA from 1 species